GAUGAACGCUGGCGGCGUGCCUAAUACAUGCAAGUCGAACGAAACUUCUUUAUCACCGAGUGCUUGCGCUCACCGAUAAAGAGUUGAGUGGCGAACGGGUGAGUAACACGUGGGCAACCUGCCCAAAAGAGGGGGAUAACACUUGGAAACAGGUGCUAAUACCGCAUAACCAUAGUUACCGCAUGGUAACUAUGUAAAAGGUGGCUAUACUACCGCUUUUGGAUGGGCCCGCGGCGCAUUAGCUAGUUGGUAGGGUAAAGGCUUACCAAGGCAAUGAUGCGUAGCCGAAUUGAGAGGUUGAUCGGCCACAUUGGGACUGAGACACGGCCCAAACUCCUACGGGAGGCAGCAGUAGGGAAUCUUCCACAAUGGGCGAAAGCCUGAUGGAGCAACGCCGCGUGGGUGAAGAAGGUCUUCGGAUCGUAAAACCCUGUUGUUAGAGAAGAAAGUGCGUGAGAGUAACUGUUCACGUUUCGACGGUAUCUAACCAGAAAGCCACGGCUAACUACGU
rnacentral:rRNA from 1 species